UAGGACUAGAUGUUGGAAUUA
rnacentral:miRNA from 1 species